rnacentral:rRNA from 1 species
GACAGAGGUCUCGAGCGUUAGGCGGAAAUCACUGGGCUUAAAGCGUGUGUAGGCGGACUUCUAAGUACCUUGUGAAAUCCCACGGCUUAACCGUGGAACUGCUUGGUAUACUGGUUGUCUUGGGCCAUCUAGGGGCUACCGGAACAAACGGUGGAGCGGUGAAAUGCGUAGAUAUCGUUUGGAACGCCAAUGGUGAAAAC